GAAGUAUCCUCACCUAACAAUAUUAGAGUAGAAGACGAUAGAAUAUGUGUGGAUGUAAGGCGUAGUAGGAGACCAAUGAUCGAGUGUAACAGUAAGUCGUUGCUCACAAGUCCUUUUCAUGGUUUCCUUCUUACAACUUUCCUGAGAAAAUUCUUGUCACUUUCCUAAGAAAAGUAAACAAAAAAAGAUUAAAACUUGGGUUUCUCAUAAGGUGCUUCACUUAUCCACUAUUUCUCCAUUUCUAAACAGACUGUGUUUGCAUAGUAAUCAAUCUUCAACAACUUAGUUUGCACUUUUGCAAUGGAAAUCCAAAGCAGCUCUUCAACUCCGAUGAUAUGGAAAUAUGAUGUGUUUGUGAGCUUUAGAGGUGAAGACACAAGAAACAACUUCACUGAUCAUCUGUUUGGUGCUCUCUAUGACAAAGGCUUUGUUCCUUUCAAAGAUGACACCAUGCUAAGAAAAGGUAAAAAUAUAUCCACUGAGCUUAAACAAGCCAUUGAAGGAUCACAAAUUCUGAUUGUGGUCUUCUCAAAAAACUAUGCUUCUUCCACAUGGUGCUUACAAGAACUGGUAAAAAUUGCUGAUUGCAUUGAAGGAAAGAGGCAGAUUGUUCUGCCUGUUUUCUGUGAUGUGACUCCAUCUGAAGUGCGGAAACAAAGCGGAAAUUAUGGAAAAGCUUUUCUGAAGCAUGAAAAAAGAUUCAAAGAAGAUUUACAAAUUGUUCAAAGAUGGAGGGAAGCUCUAGCACAAGUGGCCGAUCUCUCUGGAUGGGAUGUAACAAAUAAGCCACAAGAUGCACAGAUUGGAGAAGUAAUUAAACAAGUAACAUGCACAUUGAGUUACAAGUUUUCAACUAUACCGGAUGAUGUAGUUGGGAUACAGUCACCGUUGAAAGAAUUAGAAAAACUUCUAGUUUUGGACUCGAAUGGUGAUGUUCGAGUGCUAGGGAUUUGUGGAAUGGGUGGACUAGGAAAGUCGACUCUUGCUACUUUUUUGUAUCAGAGAAUCUCUAACCAAUUUGAUGCAACCUGUUUUAUUGAUGAUAUAAGUAAACUUCUUAGGGAGCAGAGUGCAAUGGAGGCUCAAAAACAAAUUCUUAGUCAAACUCUAAAUGAGGAAAAUCUUCAGUUGUCAAAUCUUCCCACGACAACUAAUUGGAUACAAACUAGACUACGCCACAAAAAGGCCCUCAUAGUUCUUGAUAAUGUCGAUGAAGUGAAACAGCUGUACAAAUUGGCUUUGAAACAUGGAUCUCUAGGUGCUGGAAGUAGAAUCAUCAUAAUUUCUAGGGAUGAACAUAUCUUGAGAGAGUAUCCAGUGGAUGAAGUUUACAAAGUUCAACUCUUGAAAAGUCAAGAUGCUCUUCAAUUGUUUUGCAUAAAAGCUUUCAAAUGUGAUGAUGUAAUGAGUGAUGAAUACAUUGACUUGACGAAUGAAGUCUUGGAAUAUGCUGGCCGCUUGCCAUUAGCAAUAAACGUAUUGGGUUCAUUUUUGUUUGGUCGAGAUGUUUCUGAAUGGAGAAGUGCAUUGGCUAGACUGAGAGAAUAUCCAGAAAAGGAUAUUUUGGAUGUGCUUCGAGUAAGUUUUAAUGCAUUGAAUGAUGCAGAGAAGGAAAUAUUUUUAGAUAUUUCUUGUUUAUUUGAUGGAUAUGUAUCAAAUAAUGACAAGAAGAUUCUGGAUAUUCGUGGAUUUCAUCCAGAUAUUGGUAUACCCGUUCUCAUUGAUAAAUCACUACUCGAAGUUACUAAAUUUGGGGAUUUUAAAAUGCAUGACUUGUUGAAAGAGCUGGGCAAGAAAAUUGUUCGAGAAAAAUCACCAAAAGAGCCAAGAAAGUGGAGCAGGUUAUGGGACUACAAGGAUUUCCACAAUGUUAUGUUAGAAAAUCAGGCAACAGACACUCUUCAAGCAGUAGCUAUUAAACGACGGGGUCACAAGUUUCUAGAAACAACCAUGAGGGUUGAUGCUUUAUCGAAAAUGAGCCAACUUAAGCUGCUGCUAAUUCUUGAGGAUGUGAACUUUUUAGGAAGUCUCAAUCAUCUUUCAAAUGAAUUAGGAUACCUUCAUUGGGAAAAUUAUCCUUUCAAGUGUUUGCCACCAAGUUUUCAACCAUAUAAACUUGUUGAAUUGAUCAUGCCUCAUAGUAGCAUCAAACAAUUGUGGGAAGGCACAAAGCCUCUACACAGUUUAAAACGUAUGAAUCUCUCUGACUCCAGAAGUCUUAUUAAGCUACCGGAUUUUACGGAGGCCCCAAAUCUUGAGUCCCUGAAUCUUGAAGGAUGCAUAAAACUUGUGCGGAUCAAUGAGUCCAUUGGCACCCUAAGAAAGCUUGUCGGUUUGAACUUGAAGGAUUGUAUAAAUCUAGUCAGCAUUCCCAGUAGCAUUUUUCAUCUCAGUUCUCUUGAAGGUCUAUAUCUUUCUGGCUGCUCAAAAUUACUUAGGAAUAAUCUGUUAGAGAAACAGAGGGAUGCAGAACACUUGGAGAAGCUUGAAACAAGUGAAAGUAGUAUCCAACGACAGUCAUCUUCAUCCUUCUACAGAUUUCUAAAGUUCCCCAUCCAUUCUCGGAGACAUGAAGAUUCAGUUCGUUCAUUGCUGCCUUAUUUGCCUCGUUUACCAUGUUUGAAAUGGCUUGACCUAAGCUUCUGCAAUCUUGUUCAGAUCCCUGAUGCUAUUGGGUUGUUACACUCUUUAGAAUACCUAGAUUUGGAGGGAAACCAUUUUGUUACACUACCUUGUAGCAUUAAACAACUUUCAAAACUUAGAUGUUUGAACUUGGAGCAUUGUAAGGAGUUGAGAUAUUUGCCUGAGCUCCCAUCAAGAAGUCAGAGCGAGAGACAGGUCGGUUGGGCAAUAUUGUGUAUUUUCAACUGCCCCAAAUUAUGUCUGACAAAGAGCUUUUAUAGAAUCGUUUUUUCUUGGAUGAUCCAAUCUGCUAAGCUGCUCAUGCAAUCCUCUUUCUCCUCCUGGGUUCCAUUGGAUGCAAUUCAAAUUGUUAUUCCUGGAGGUGAAAUUCCAAGGUGGUUCAGCGAGCAAAAUGUGGGUAAUUCAAUACGGGUGGAUUCAUCUCCCGUUAUGCGGAACCAAAAUUGGAUAGGUCUUGCUUGCUGUUUUACAUUUGUCACGCAUAAAGAUCCAACUAAUUUGAACGAUCCAAUUUAUUCUCUGUUUUACUGUUUGAAACAUGAGCGGGACAGUUAUGAAAUUCCGAUACAUUUCAGGAAAGAUCUGAUCACAGUUGAAUUUGAUCACAUGGUGCUACUCUAUUUUCCUCGGGAACGAUUAAUCAAUUCGAAUCAAUUAGUCGAAUUUGUAUCUAUUGACACGCAUCCCCAAGAAUUGCAUGUCGAGGUGAAAAAGUGUGGGUAUAAGUGGGUAUAUGAGGAAGAUUUGGAUCAAUUAAUCCACAGUAUGGAGCACAAUGGGAAUUCGUCUGUUCUAGAGGGCAAUCUCUUAACAAACGAGUCACCAGAUGAGCUAAAUCAUGGAAAAGCAGCUUAGCAAUUUCAUUUCAGAUACAUACAUUUCUGUCAAACAAAUUCUUAUCCAUUUCAGCAAGUUGUCAAGAUCUCAGGGAGAAAAGGUACAGACUCGACUCUGGCAUAGAAAAGACUUGCCGAUCACGGACUCAUCCGGGCAUCUUGAAGUUGUUGGGAGCACUCCUCUUGAUCCUCCAUAGUUAUUCACAGGUAGCUGAGUAGGAGGUUGCUUCAGUUGCAGCUUGUACAGUUACUUCUUUUUGGUAGGCCUCCUACGGUUGGUGGCCAUGUUGAUGUCUUUUGUUGAUCUUUUUGGUAUUCUGCAGCUAUAGGGAAUAUGUAAUAGUCAUAUUUUGUAAAGUGUAAAAGCUCUAUGAUGUAUUUGAUGAUGUUGCUUCUUGGAUGUUGGAUAUGUAUAUAUUUGGAUUCUUGGCUGGAUUUUAAACCUCAUUGGCAGGUCUUGUUAUUUUGGGAAAUAAAGAUAUACAAAGGAAACUCUGUCGAAA